UAUCAUGAAGAGGACAACACAAACAACCAAUGCUUAUUCCUUCGUUAUAUGAACAAAGGAACUUAAGAAGAUUAGCAUAAUGACAAGGACACUUUUAGUGUUAUUAGUUCUUCACUUACAAAUCGUUGUAUGAAGAAAUAAUAGUUGCUUUGAACAACCCUUAGUCAAUGCAAACACUAGUGCUUGUUUCUUUGUUAAAUGAACAAAGAACUUGAGAAGAAAGCACAAAGGCAUGGACACUUUAUGUGCCAUGUUUCUUCACUUACAAAUUGUUGUAUGAAGAAAUGAGAGUUGCCUUGAACAACUCUUGAAGGUUUGUAAUUAUGUUUAGAACAUAAUGGUUGGUUGACAAAAAUAGUCCAUUAACAUGGACUUAUAAUGAUUUUGAAUCAUUAAGUGUUGAAGUGAUAAACCACUUAAUGAGACGGAAACUAGGCAAGGACUUCACCUAAGUGGCCCUAUCCUAAUGGUUCACUAAGUUUAUUGUAAACUAUGUAGUGAACAAUAACCACAUGCUCUCCAAAAAUGUUUGAUGUGUAUAACACAAUUGAAAUAAGUUUCAAGAGAGAUAGUGGGAGUUUAGGGACCAUGACUAUU
rnacentral:lncRNA from 1 species